AGUGAACGCUGGCGGUAGGCCUAACACAUGCAAGUCGAACGGCAGCACAGUAAGAGCUUGCUCUUACGGGUGGCGGGUGGCGGACGGGUGAGGAAUACAUCGGAAUCUACUUUUUCGUGGGGGAUAACGUAGGGAAACUUACGCUAAUACCGCAUACGACCUACGGGUGAAAGCAGGGGAUCUUCGGACCUUGCGCGAUUGAAUGAGCCGAUGUCGGAUUAGCUAGUUGGCGGGGUAAAGGCCCACCAAGGCGACGAUCCGUAGCUGGUCUGAGAGGAUGAUCAGCCACACUGGAACUGAGACACGGUCCAGACUCCUACGGGAGGCAGCAGUGGGGAAUAUUGGACAAUGGGCGCAAGCCUGAUCCAGCCAUACCGCGUGGGUGAAGAAGGCCUUCUGGUUGUAAGGCCCUUUUGUUGGGAAAGAAAAGCAGCAGGUUAAUACCCCGCUGUUCUGACGGUACCCAAAGAAUAAGCACCGGCUAACUUCGUG
rnacentral:rRNA from 1 species